rnacentral:rRNA from 1 species
UACGAAGGGGACUAGCGUUGUUCGGAAUUACUGGGCGUAAAGCGCACGUAGGCGGAUUUGUAAGUCAGGGGUGAAAUCCCGGGGCUCAACCUCGGAACUGCCUUUGAUACUGCAAGUCUCGAGUCCGAUAGAGGUGGGUGGAAUUCCUAGUGUAGAGGUGAAAUUCGUAGAUAUCAGGAGGAACACCCGUGGCGAAAGCGGCUCUCUGGGACGGUACUGACGCUGAGACGCGAAAGCGUGGGGAGCAAACAGG